AGCCAGCAGCCGCGGUAAUACGUAGGAUGCAAGCGUUGUUCGGAAUUAUUGGGUGUAAAGGGCGCGUAGGCGGCUUGGCCAGUCACGGGUGAAAGCCCCCGGCUUAACCGGGGAAUUGCCCGUGAUACUACCAAGCUCGAGUACGGGAGAGGGAAGUGGAAUUCCUGGUGUAGCGGUGAAAUGCGUAGAUAUCAGGAGGAACACCGGUGGCGAAGGCGGCUUCCUGGACCGAUACUGACGCUGAGGCGCGAAAGCGUGGGUAGCAAACAGGAUUAGAUACCCUGGUAGUCCACGCCCUAAACGAUGGGCACUAGGUGUGAGGACCUUUUAAGGUCUUCGUGCCGAAGCUAACGCAUUAAGUGCCCCACCUGGGGAGUACGGCCGCAAGGUUGAAACUUAAAGGAAUUGGCGGGGGA
rnacentral:rRNA from 1 species